rnacentral:lncRNA from 10 species
CGUGGAGCUAUAUUUCCAACUACAUUCGGUUCCUUUAUGAAAUAGUGGUCCAGAUUUGGCUCAGAGGCUAUAGUUUGCCCACCCCUGCUUUAUACAACUGGAAGAAAGAUGUCAAUUACCUACCUGCCCCGAGAUCAAUGAUACACAUUAGAGAGGUGGCUGGUAGGGGACCAGUGUGGCAGCCUCUUGUCCCCAGACUAAGCAAAACCAUCUGGCCCUCGGAGGAAUUGAACCCAUAUUAUCAACCUCAAUUAGCACCAUGUUUUACUCAAUUGAAGAAAUAAAAGUUGCAAUUAAUUCAACUGUCCUCGUCUUAGUCAUUAUCAAUUGCAAUAUUCUAUCCUUAUUUAGCUUCUAAAACCCAAAAGUUCAUGCUCCCGGACAAAGUACAUGGGAAAGUAUGAUAUGCCAGCAUUGUCACUAUUACAACUUGAAUGACUGCAGGAGAUUGUAUUUUUAAACUGCCUCAUCAUAGCCCUAUCCUCAAAUGUAUGCCAGGACUUCCAGAGAAGCAAAGUCACAUGGCUGUUUAUUCAAUGAGAAUUCAUGUUUAUCAUCUCUCAUCCCAAUCCUACUUCCCCUACACUAUUCUCCUGCUUGGCUCCUUGGAAAAGGAAACUGUCCUCCCUUCAGUUACAUUUUUGUCAUGUUCAAUGAGUUAAUUUUGUUGGCUCAGUUAUAUAUUUUAGUAUAAAUUAAAUUCAAGUUUCCUUUAUUUGAGUCUUUGGGCCAGUUGCAUUGCUUUAUACUUUCUGGUGUUCUCAAUUUCAACUUUGCUAGCAUUUAGAAGGCAAAGGCACUGUCUAGCAGAAGUAAUAAUCCUUUUAACUACCUAAUUGCUUCUGUUGGUUACCGCCGUUUGUCUUCUAGACUCAAGGCAUUGACUCUAGAUGACUUCCAAC